UUCGUUGCAUUAUCCGAAGCUUAUGUAUGCUAAGUACCAUGAGGAAGGAGCCGAACGUUUAGUAUGCAAGGGCAUUGCCGACGUGUGCAUCCCUGAAUGCGCAUUACGUCAGAUUGCAUGGUUUUGAAUUCCAUAAGAAUAGCUUUCCUGUCAAAUUCAGCGUCUGAAGAUUCCCAGGUUACGGGGGUGGUAGCUGUACACGCAUAAUAGAGGGAGACAGCGAACGAGCGAGCAAGCGCAAAUUAACCUGGGAAAAGUAUUGUCCGUUGGUUAGUGUGGCAUUCACGAGAAGGCAGCACCUACUGGCAAGAAAGUCGAUUUCAAACUUCAAACAUUUCAAG